GGGGAUUUUUUUUUUUAAUGUAUAAUGAGUAUAAAAGUGUUCAGCCAGAGUAUUUAGCCAAUAUCACCCUUACACUUAUUUUUGGCAGGCGUAGUAGGCCUACAGAAGUUGACAAUUUUCUGAGAAUAUGAUGAUUAUGAUGAUGAAUCCAUUGUGUAAUUCCUGUUUUUUGUGACCUUUUGAUUCUUAACAUGAUGUUCUAGGUUAAGCGAGCUGGACUUGUAAAAGAUGUAGUGAUGUUCUGCCAACAAGAAAAUAUUGCCCCAAUGACUGAUAAUAAUGUGAGAAUCCCCUUAAACGGUGUUUGUGGAAAUGUUGGCAUAUGUUCUUAAGACUAAGGUAAGGAGAGUAAGGUAAUAAUUCAUUACUUUUUAUACUCAAAAAUACAAACAUGGUGACUAUGUCCCUUUACUUCUUGAUUAGAGGUCAUCAUGUAUGUUAAUUUGAUGUAUGGGCUAAAACUAAAUUUUGCCUACAACUCAAGCAUGUAUCUUCAAUAACAAAAUACUCCUACCCCCUUCAGUAUGUGAUAAAGAUGGCAUGCUUCUGCUUACAGAUCAGUAAGGAGUUCCGCCCAAUUAAUGACAUACCGAACACACACCAAAGAUGUUGUCACUGUUCCAUGCAAAAAGAAGAGCUGUGGGCCAAAGGAUCAAGUCACGGAUGCUGCAACGCAUCCAGGACACAACUGUCUCUGUUGAUAAGAGAAGGGAAGCGGUCCUGAGAUGCUUGAUUGAGUACAUUGGGGGCCAUGAAGAGGACCUUAUAAAUGACCAUAAUGUGCAUGCAGUGCUGAUACUGCCGGCAUCGUCAUUGACUGAUACCCAGUCAUCAGAGGUUUGCCCAACUUGGCAAAGGCAUGCUGUCUUCUGUUUGGACUGAUCUAUGCUCUUGAGCUGAAAUAUCCUGCAAAACUGGUGCACACAUAUGAAGUCUUUCAGCAGCUCUUUCUUGCCAUGAAUGUCAUGCCUCCCAAACCAUCACCAAAGUACACUAAUUUGCUGAACAAGCUGAGUUAAAAUUUUAUUUUCAGUUUUGAGAUUUUUUUCUGUACAUUUUCAGCCACAUUGAGAGUGUGAGAUUUGCUUUUGUUGUUUUUACAUUGAUUGCCAUGGUAGUUGGCAGAGUGUUUUGAGAGGACUGCACUGACUUCUCUUUGUUUUGCUGUGUUCAAGUUAGGACAUUUUUGGCCAUGUUUAAGACAAAGCAAAACUUUUAUGAAAUAAGUGUUGUGGCAACGCAGCUGAGCCACUAAACAGUUUCCAGUGUGUGCGUGCCCUCGCUUGGUUGCUCGGUCGGUCGACUGUCUUUUAUCGCUGUGCCAUCUUUGUUAUGCUAAAUUUUGUACAUUAUGGCUAUAUCUAUGCCAGGAAAAAAAUUAAUAAAAAAUAAGAAUAAAAAUAUAAAAAUAAAUAUUUGAAAUGUCUUUUCAGCUUGUUCUUCAUUUAAAAUCGUUGCUUUUCACUGUAUAGUCUAUUUCAAUGUUUUGGUGUGCUUUACAGAGAACGAAAGCGAUCUCAUCUGUCAGAAAACAAAACAGUUAAAUUCUCUCGGAGUAAUGAAGCUCCAGGCUGCUUAUAUGAACUAAACACCAUAAAAAAUGUAUUAUCUGAAUAAAGAACUAAAAAACAAAAUAAAUGAAUAUUUUACCAUCACUUACGUUCUCUUUAAUGAUAAAUUUUACAGUAGAAUUGUUUAAUUGAGAUGAAUGUACUUCUGGCGAAUAACCAGAAGUACAUGAAUCUCAAUUAAGGCCUAUUUAAGUAUAUUGAAAAUUAUUGUAUUACUUUACAUGAGCUCAAAAAAAUUGAGUUAAACCAAUACUACUGAUAAUGCCUAGUUGGCCCAAUCAAGAAAAUUGAGUUCAUUAAACGCAUAAAAAUCCAGUUGAUUUAAACCAAUACCACUGCAAAUCCCUAGUUGGAUAAACUUAAUUUUCUUGAUUGAUCCAACUAGGCAUUAUCAGUAGUAUUGUUUUAACUCAACUUAAUUUUUAUGAGCUCAUGUAAAGUAUUAAAAUCAUUUUCAUUCUACCUAAAAAAGGCUUGAAGUUUACUCAACUUAAAA